UCUUUCAUAAUUUCAGUUGGAAGAUACAAUGGAAGCUUCUAAUGGAACCAUCGCUACUGAUUUUAUCUGUAAAUAUAGUGUAAAAAAAUAUGAUUGCAUUGCUUGUAAGAAUAAACUUGAAGAACUCUAUUGCAAAACUGUAGAAGAUACUGAAGAACUUCAAGAUAAUUGUGAAAAUUGUAAUAAAAGUUAUAACAGCAGUACGA